UCUUAUGAAUGAGCAAAGAAAGUGGUGUAUUGUGAUGAAAUCUGCUCCUGAUGAAGAUGCUGUGAA
rnacentral:pre_miRNA from 3 species